GCAAGUCGAACGCGAACGAGUUCUUCGGAAAACGAGUAGAGUGGCGCACGGGUGAGUAACGCGUAAGUAAUCUACCCUGGCAUCUGGGAUAACCCACCGAAAGGUGUGCUAAUACCGGAUACGUUGAUUUAUCAAGAAAGGUGGCCUCUGAUUUAAGCUACCGUGCCGGGAGGAGCUUGCGUACCAUUAGCUAGUUGGUAGGGUAAUGGCCUACCAAGGCGACGAUGGUUAGCGGGUCUGAGAGGAUGAUC
rnacentral:rRNA from 1 species